rnacentral:rRNA from 1 species
CGCGGUGUCUAUACCGGUGGGGUCACACCUCUUCCCAUCUCGAACAGAGUCGUUAAGCUCACCAGGGCCCAUGGUACUUGGGGUUACACCCAGGGAGAGUAGGUCGGUGCCGCGA